rnacentral:tRNA from 1 species
CGGGUCCGGAUCGGUGGCCGGAUCCGGCGGCUGCGGACCGUCGCCGACACCGUCCGGGACGCCGGGGGCCGGCC